UAUUUUUAAUUGACAUAGACCAAGUCAUCUAGUAAAAUGAGGAUGAUGCAUCGGGAAUACCC
rnacentral:tRNA from 1 species